rnacentral:rRNA from 1 species
GGCUCAGGAUGAACGCUAGCUACAGGCUUAACACAUGCAAGUCGAGGGGAAACGAUAUUGGAAGCUUGCUUCCGAUAGGCGUCGACCGGCGCACGGGUGAGUAACGCGUAUCCAACCUGCCCAUCACUUGGGGAUAACCUUGCGAAAGUAAGACUAAUACCCAAUGACGUCUCUAGAAGACAUCUGAAAGAGAUUAAAGAUUUAUCGGUGAUGGAUGGGGAUGCGUCUGAUUAGCUUGUUGGCGGGGUAACGGCCCACCAAGGCGACGAUCAGUAGGGGGUUCUGAGAGGAAGGUCCCCCACAUUGGAACUGAGACACGGUCCAAACUCCUACGGGAGGCAGCAGUGAGGAAUAUUGGUCAAUGGACGAGAGUCUGAACCAGCCAAGUAGCGUGCAGGAAGACGGCCCUAUGGGUUGUAAACUGCUUUAUAAGGGAAUAAAGUGAGUCUCGUGAGACUUUUUGCAUGUACCUUAUGAAUAAGGACCGGCUAAUUCCGUG